rnacentral:rRNA from 1 species
AUUGAACGCUGGCGGCAUGCUUUACACAUGCAAGUCGAACGGUAGCAGGCCUUCGGGUGCUGACGAGUGGCGAACGGGUGAGUAAUGCAUCGGAACGUACCCAGAGGUGGGGGAUAACGCAGCGAAAGCUGUGCUAAUACCGCAUGUGAUCUGAGGAUGAAAGCGGGGGACCGAGCAGCAAUGUUUGGCCUCGCGCCUUUGGAGCGGCCGAUGUCGGAUUAGCUAGUUGGUGGGGUAAAGGCCUACCAAGGCGACGAUCCGUAGCUGGUCUGAGAGGACGACCAGCCACACUGGGACUGAGACACGGCCCAGACUCCUACGGGAGGCAGCAGUGGGGAAUUUUGGACAAUGGGCGCAAGCCUGAUCCAGCAAUGCCGCGUGCGGGAAGAAGGCCUUCGGGUUGUAAACCGCUUUUGGCAGGAACGAAACGGUGUCCGCUAAUACCGGGCGCUAAUGACGGUACCUGAAGAAUAAGCACCGGCUAACUACGUG